GGUGUGGAGAGAUGGAGGAGGAGGUCAGCCCUCCCGCGGAGGUGACUCUGAACUCGGCCAUGUUGUGGUCCAUCCCGGAGGCUGUCGAGCGGCAGACCCUCCAGAUCGGCGCCUCGGCCUGCGGGGCCACGGCCGUGGUGGACGUCUUGCAGGCGCUGGGCAUCGCCGCGGCGACCGAGGUGGUGGACCGCUGUGUCCAGACGCGCCUGCGGAGGAAUGAGGCUCCGCUGCCCGAUUACCUGCUCUCACGGAGCGAGGCUGGAGCCACACACGAGCAGCUGAUCAGCGGUGCGGACCAGGCCAGCGGCGGUAAGGUGGCCGGCAGGUUCUUCGCGCUGCACCCACGGCGCAGGGUGAAGCUGGUGCCCUGGCUGGCUCGCUGGAUCCGGAAGGGCGCGGUUCCGGUCGCCACCAUGAACAUGCAGCGGGCGGUGCCCGAGGGGGAAGAGGUGCCCGACGCGUGGCACCACCAGCUGAUCUUCGGAGUGGCGCCCAAUGCCGUGUUCAUGACCAAUCCUCUGGAUGUGGUCAGUGAAGAGGAGGUCCACCAGCGCCUCAGCAGCGAGUCGGUCCUCCUCAUUCGCCGAGACGACGUGCUUCACAGACUGCCGGCUGCUGUCCCCCUGUCAGCAGUGGCAGAGAACCAUGCCGACCCACGGUGGAGCGUCUUAAACGUGGAAGGUCAAGUCAGGCAGAUGAUCGAUGAGGAAGACUGUGAGGAUGGCCACCAUCAGACGAGCCACAUCACCAUCCCGGCAGCGUACUCCUCUGGAGUGACUCUGUUUGCCCUCAGGGGCUCUGGUGUGUGGCAGGAGCUUCUGGGAAGUCCUGAACUCCCUCUGCUGUGAAUGGACACCUUCUGGAACCUUCAGUGAUCUGUGUGUUGAACACACUGCUGAGCCACAUGAAUCCAUUUUUGUAGCGAUGCUGUAUUUGUGUGCUAAAUGUAUGGUAACAAGUGUAUUUAUUGUGGAUUUAAUAUAAUAUAUUUUGCCACCCGAGGCUCGUGGGUACGUCUGUAAUGAAUAAAAUCCCGGUUUUGUUUGACUGAAUCA
rnacentral:lncRNA from 1 species